CACGUAGGGCGCGAGCGUUGUCCGGAAUUAUUGGGCGUAAAGAGCUCGUAGGCGGCCUGUUGCGUCCGCUGUGAAAGCCCGGGGCUCAACCCCGAGCCUGCAGUCGAUACGGGCAAACUAGAGUGUGGUAGGGGAGACUGGAAUUCCUGGUGUAGCGGUGAAAUGCGCAGAUAUCAGGAGGAACACCGGCGGCGAAGGCGGGUCUCUGGGCCGAUACUGACGCUGAGGAGCGAAAGCAUGGGUAGCGAACAGG
rnacentral:rRNA from 1 species